rnacentral:tRNA from 2 species
GGGCCUCUAGCUCAAUGGCAGAGCAGCUGACUCUUAAUCAGCCGGUUCAGGGUUCGAAUCCCUGGGGGCUCACCA